UUGAAAAAUAUCAUUUUUUAAGUUAAAAAAAAAGUGUCGUAGCCAUCAAUGCCAUUGUACUUUUUGGGAAUUAUAUGCUACCCAAUUCCUUAAAAGCCGGCACUUUACACACCCAUACAUACUUGGCUAUGUAGGCAAAGCACAUUGUCUUUUUUUUUAUUUCGGGCUCUGCUCUCAAUGCACAGUCAGCAUCGACAUCUCUUUCCCCAGUUUGAUUUUUUUCCUCCAUCAACCCCUCCCUAAAAUGAGAGAAAAACUACUAUAUACGCUUGUUAACCGGACAAAUGCAUCCAAUAUGCCGACACUCUCUCUCGCGUACUAACACUCAACCACAUAUCCACAAACAUUUGUUUAGUCACCACCGCCCGUCAUCUGCUUUAGCUGUAAAACCGGCUUUUAUUUAUUUAAGCACGACUCUUGGAUGUGCCUUUUUUUGUAUUGUAUUUUCUCCCCAUUGUUAUUCUCUUGAGACAAUAAAGAUGCGAGUUCAUGUGUGUGUGUGCACAUAAAUAUCUCCGGAAGAAUUUAAUUUUGGUGCAACAACUUAACAUAUAGGAACUUGCACCAAAUGCACACACAAUAAAUGUUAAAAAUAUUUGGCAAGUGAUUCUUUUAGCAAUAAAAUGAUACUACUUACAAAUUUAUAUAAGGAUAUACAUGAAUACUUAGCUAACUUAUAUGGAAAGAACAUUAAAUAUGCUAUUGAAAGAACAUUAAAGAACAUUAAAUAUGGCUAAUAAGCACAAAACUCGCAUACCGGAAACUACUAUUAUACAAACAAAAUCUAAUUUUGGCAACAGUUUCAUUAAACUCCAUUUUUAAUAAAAUUCUACAUGCCUCCUAAAAACGUAAAAAAGAUCGCACAGGAAGAUAACCAAUUUUUCAUAAAAAAAUAGUAAGUUCCUGCAGUCCUUUUAGAGAUGGCAUUCACGAUGUUUAGAUUUUGAUAUCAUAGGCUUAAAAGGGAUUAGGGGUUGUUUACACUAUUAGGUAAAUCUGUUGAUUUUAAAAUAGCUGUGUUCGGGAACUCCAAAAGGCAGAGAUUCUAGGCAGCAGCUAGUGUUCAGGCAUAGAAAACUCGCCAAAUGAAGUUUUAAUUUUACCUCAAGGCGGUUGUUCUACAUUAGAAGACUCCAAGAAAGUAGCAAUGAUCGGUUUCUUAAGUGUUUUGAUGGAAUCAUCCUCAUCAGAGAGCUACGAUGAAAAUGAAUGAAAAUGAGGGAAGAUGCUGCCAUGGUAUUUAGUGGGUCUGGCUGGGCAGUUAAAAGUUACGCACAGUGGAAUUGGAAAAAAUAGUGUAAAUUUCAAAAUAUCUUCAAUGGAAACACAGUGUCCGUAGCCGUUGCAUGACCAAAUAGAAAACUACCUUAGCCUCACAUCAGUGGUCGCAGCAAUUUGUCUAGCCACAAUAUCCAGUAGCAUUAGGUGCUUAGUCCAAGGUUCCUUUGUCAGCACACCAAGUACUGCCGAACAGGGAAUUGAGAACGUUGUUUCUACUUUUGCGUACGGUGAUCGCAUGUAAAGCAGUUGUAGGCCUAUGCAGCCUUCGAAAUUCAUGCUGAUAGUCGCCGAAUGGAAAUUGUCCAACGGGAGGAUCGGAAGGAGUAGUCCCUAAUGCGUCUUGGCUACUGAUGAAAGAAGACAGAUCGGUCUGUACGACUUCCCCUUGCUCGUGUCAUUUCCAGGUUUCAGUAGCGGGAUCAGACUGUCCAUCUUCCAAACAUCAGGUACUACAAUAGUGUUCUGACAGUUGUAAGGUACUCAACUCCAGGCAAAUCCAGAUUCUUCAACAUCAGUGUAGAGAUUCCGUCUGGGACCAGCGCCUUGCGCAACUUGGUGCUACAUCACGAAUACUACGAAUGGCUUCCCUUCUAGCCUUGUUACUCUAGGGCCAAAAAUCAAUCGUUAACCUAAUGAGAAUACCUCGCAACUAUCGCAUUUUUAUAAGCAUUUUUUAUUUAAAACAAUUGUUUUCCCAAGCAAGCAAAUAAAAAACCAACCAAAACAAAAAUCAGCUGUUAUUCUCCAAAUUUUUACUGGAAGUCAUUCGCGUACUUUUGCUUGCAAAUUUUUUAAA